rnacentral:rRNA from 1 species
AUUGAACGCUGGCGGCAGGCCUAACACAUGCAAGUCGAACGGUAACAGGAAGACGCUUGCUUCUUUGCUGACGAGUGGCGGACGGGUGAGUAAUGUCUGGGAAACUGCCUGAUGGAGGGGGAUAACUACUGGAAACGGUAGCUAAUACCGCAUAACGUCGCAAGCCCAAAGAGGGGGACCUUCGGGCCUCUUUCCAUCGGAUGUGCCCAGAUGGGAUUAGCUAGUAGGUGGGGUAACGGCUCACCUAGGCGACGAUCCCUAGCUGGUCUGAGAGGAUGACCAGCCACACUGGAACUGAGACACGGUCCAGACUCCUACGGGAGGCAGCAGUGGGGAAUAUUGCACAAUGGGCGCAAGCCUGAUGCAGCCAUGCCGCGUGUAUGAAGAAGGCCUUCGGGUUGUAAAGUACUUUCAGCGGGGAGGAAGGGAGUAAAGUUAAUACCUGUACUCAUUGACGUUACCCGCAGAAGAAGCACCGGCUAACUCCGUG